GAGAAGAACGCAGCGAAAUGCGAUAAGUAAUGUGAAUUGCAGAAUUCAGUGAAUCAUCGAAUCUUUGAACGCACAUUGCGCCCGCCAGUAUUCUGGCGGGCAUGCCUGUUCGAGCGUCAUUUCAACCAUCAAGCCCCAGGCUUGUGUUGGGGACCUGCGGCUGCCGCAGGCCCUGAAAACCAGUGGCGGGCUCGCUGUCACACCGGGCGUAGUAGAUUUUAUCUCGCUCAGGGCGUGCUGCGGGUCCCGGCCGUUAAAAGCCUUUUUUUACCCAAGGUUGACCUCGGAUCAGGUAGGAAGACCCGCUGAACUUAAGCAUAUCAAUAAGCGGAGGA
rnacentral:misc_RNA from 1 species